rnacentral:rRNA from 1 species
CACGUAGGGUGCGAGCGUUGUCCGGAAUUAUUGGGCGUAAAGAGCUCGUAGGCGGUGUGUCGCGUCGGCCGUGAAAACCUGCAGCUUAACUGUGGGCUUGCGGUCGAUACGGGCAUCACUGGAGUUCGGCAGGGGAGACUGGAAUUCCUGGUGUAGCGGUGAAAUGCGCAGAUAUCAGGAGGAACACCGAUGGCGAAGGCAGCUCUCUGGGACGGUACUGACGCUGAGACGCGAAAGCGUGGGGAGCGAACAGG